rnacentral:rRNA from 1 species
AGAGUUGAUCAUGGCUCAGGACGAACGCUGGCGGCGUGCCUAACACAUGCAAGUCGAGCGAGGAGAUCCUUCGGGAUGAUCCUAGCGGCGGACGGGUGAGUAACACGUGGGCAACCUGCCUCAUAGAGAGGAAUAGCCUUCCGAAAGGGAGAUUAAUACCUCAUAACAUUGCAGUUUCGCAUGAAACAGCAAUUAAAGGAGCAAUCCGCUAUGAGAUGGGCCCGCGGCGCAUUAGCUAGUUGGUGAGGUAACGGCUCACCAAGGCGACGAUGCGUAGCCGACCUGAGAGGGUGAUCGGCCACAUUGGGACUGAGACACGGCCCAGACUCCUACGGGAGGCAGCAGUGGGGAAUAUUGCACAAUGGGGGAAACCCUGAUGCAAGCAACGCCGCGUGAGUGAUGACGGCCUUCGGGUUGUAAAGCUCUGUCUUCAGGGACGAUAAUGACGGUACCUGAGGAGGAAGCCACGGCUAACUACGUGCCAGCAGCGGC